rnacentral:rRNA from 1 species
AGUGAAUGCUGGCGGUAGGCCUAACACAUGCAAGUCGAACGGCAGCACAGUAAGAGCUUGCUCUUACGGGUGGCGAGUGGCGGACGGGUGAGGAAUACAUCGGAAUCUACUUUUUCGUGGGGGAUAACGUAGGGAAACUUACGCUAAUACCGCGUACGACCUACGGGUGAAAGCAGGGGAUCUUCGGACCUUGCGCGAUUGAAUGAGCCGAUGUCGGAUUAGCUAGUUGGCGGGGUAAAGGCCCACCAAGGCGACGAUCCGUAGCUGGUCUGAGAGGAUGAUCAGCCACACUGGAACUGAGACACGGUCCAGACUCCUACGGGAGGCAGCAGUGGGGAAUAUUGGACAAUGGGCGCAAGCCUGAUCCAGCCAUACCGCGUGGGUGAAGAAGGCCUUCGGGUUGUAAAGCCCUUUUGUUGGGAAAGAAAAGCAGCAGGUUAAUACCCCGCUGUUCUGACGGUACCCAAAGAAUAAGCACCGGCUAACUUCGUG